rnacentral:rRNA from 1 species
UAGUCCGCACAGUAAACGAUGAAUACUCGCGGUUGGCGAUACAAUGUCAGCCGCCAAGCGAAAGCGUUAAGUAUUCCACCUGGGGAGUACGCCGGCAACGGUGAAACUCAAAGGAAUUGACGGGGGCCCGCACAAGCGGAGGAACAUGUGGUUUAAUUCGAUGAUACGCGAGGAACCUUACCCGGGCUUGAACUGAGGGGGAAUGAGCCAGAGAUGGCUCAGUCUUCGGACUCCCUUGG